UGCUCGGUGGCGUAGGUGGUAACAGCGUGCGUGGGACAGUGAGCGGCAAUCUCUCCCCCUUCCAUUUUCGGCGGCAUGGAUGGCCCCUAGCGUAAACACCUAGUUGUUUAACUGGGCGCGCAGAUCGCGGGUUCGAAUCCCGUCCGAGUCUAA